rnacentral:rRNA from 1 species
CGGUGGAUCACUCGGCUCGUGGAUCGAUGAAGAACGCAGCAAACUGCGCGUCGAAGUGUGAACUGCAGGACACAUGAACAUCGACGUUUCGAACGCACAUUGCGGCCCACGGAUUCUGUUCCCGGGCCACGGCUGGCUGAGGGCCGGC